GACCUAUGUGUGGCCCUAGCUGGCCUCCUACCUG
rnacentral:piRNA from 1 species